GAUGAAGAACGCAGCGAAAUGCGAUAAGUAGUGUGAAUUGCAGAAUUCAGUGAAUCAUCGAAUCUUUGAACGCACAUUGCGCCCCUUGGUAUUCCAUGGGGCAUGCCUGUUCGAGCGUCAUUGCUGCCCUCAAGCACGGCUUGUGUGUUGGGCCCCCGCCCCCCGGUUCCCGGGGGGCGGGCCCGAAAGGCAGCGGCGGCACCGCGUCCGGUCCUCGAGCGUAUGGGGCUUCGUCACCCGCUCCGUAGGCCCGGCCGGCGCCCGCCGGCGACCCCCCCUCAAUCUUUCCAGGUUGACCUCGGAUCAGGUAGGGAUACCCGCUGAACUUAAGCAUAUCAAUAAGCGGAGGA
rnacentral:misc_RNA from 1 species